rnacentral:tRNA from 1 species
GGUCCCAUAGCUCAAUGGAUAGAGCAACUACCUUCUAAGUAGUAGGUUACAGGUUCGAGCCCUGUUGGGAUCA